GAACCAGAAUAAGUAAUUCAUUAGUUGUUGAAGUACUAUUACGUACACUGGAACUGAAUUAAUAACGCUAACUAUUAUUAUUGUUCUACUUAGAAAGUCCUAAUUCUGACUUCUCUGCAACGUUAACGUUUUCUGGACUACAGCAAUGUCUCGAAGCGCCGUGUGUUCACGAUCGCGUUCAACAUCCCGGGUUUCGCGCCGUCUACGCAAACUUCCGCAUCGAAUGAACGGGAAAAGGAGCCGAUCAAACCGCAGUCGCCGAUCGGCAUCGCGUAAGAGCAGUCGAUGUGGAAGUAAGCGAGCAUCCAGAAGUAAAUCCAGAAACAAAUCUCGGAGUUGCAGCCGGCCGAAACAAAAGCAAAAAUGUCGAUCGAAGCGCCGCAAGAGCACAAAAACAGAUCGACUACGUAAAUUGAAAGAAGUGAAAAUGGCGAAGGAUCUGGGAACGCGCUAUCGCAUCGGUGGAGGAGGACGUCGAAAAACAAGAAAACCUUGCAAAUAAUUUAUCUGGCACUCAGAUCUGAUCUGGCAAAUUAUUAGCGCAGAUCGUACUGGUCAGUUGCACUCUGGUCAGUACUGGUACUGGUAUCGUACUGGUCAGUAAUCGUACUGGUCAGUCAGUUGCAGUUACUAUGUACAUAUCACAACAAACCGUGUCCCCCGUAUCAUCCAACUACAUAUGAUAAAAACUGCCAAAGAGAAACAACAAAAUAAUUCUUAAAAAAAUCAAAUUU